rnacentral:rRNA from 1 species
AAUCUCAGUUCAGACUGCAGGCUGCAACUCGCCUGCACGAAGUCGGAAUUGCUAGUAAUCGUAGGUCAGCAUACUACGGUGAAUACGUUCCCGGGCCUUGUACACACCGCCUGUCAAACCAUGAGAGUUGGCAACACCCGAAGUCGGUAGUCUAACCGCAAGGAGGACGCCGCCGAAGGUGGGGUUGAUGAUUAGGGUUAAGUCGUAACAAGGUACC